rnacentral:rRNA from 1 species
GAGGGGUAUAGUUCUUCGGAACUAGAGACCGGCGCACGGGUGCGUAACGCGUAUGCAAUCUACCUUUUACAGAGGGAUAGCCCAGAGAAAUUUGGAUUAAUACCUCAUAGCAUAGCAAUCUCGCAUGAGAUCACUAUUAAAGUCACAACGGUAAAAGAUGAGCAUGCGUCCCAUUAGCUAGUUGGUAAGGUAACGGCUUACCAAGGCUACGAUGGGUAGGGGUCCUGAGAGGGAGAUCCCCCACACUGGUACUGAGACACGGACCAGACUCCUACGGGAGGCAGCAGUGAGGAAUAUUGGACAAUGGGCGCAAGCCUGAUCCAGCCAUGCCGCGUGCAGGAUGACGGUCCUAUGGAUUGUAAACUGCUUUUAUACGAGAAGAAACACUCCGACGUGUCGGAGCUUGACGGUAUCGUAAGAAUAAGGAUCGGCUAACUCCGUGCCAGCAGCCGCGGUAAUACGGAGGAUCCAAGCGUUAUCCGGAAUCAUUGGGUUUAAAGGGUCCGUAGGCGGUUUAGUAAGUCAGUGGUGAAAGCCCAUCGCUCAACGGUGGAACGGCCAUUGAUACUGCUAAACUUGAAUUAUUAGGAAGUAACUAGAAUAUGUAGUGUAGCGGUGAAAUGCUUAGAGAUUACAUGGAAUACCAAUUGCGAAGGCAGGUUACUACUAAUGGAUUGACGCUGAUGGACGAAAGCGUGGGUAGCGAAC